rnacentral:rRNA from 1 species
GAUGAACGCUGGCGGCGUGCCUAAUACAUGCAAGUCGAGCGAACAGACGAGGAGCUUGCUCCUCUGACGUUAGCGGCGGACGGGUGAGUACACGUGGAUAACCUACCUAUAAGACUGGGAUAACUUCGGGAAACCGGAGCUAAUACCGGAUAAUAUAUUGAACCGCAUGGUUCAAUAGUGAAAGACGGUUUUGCUGUCACUUAUAGAUGGAUCCGCGCCGCAUUAGCUAGUUGGUAAGGUAACGGCUUACCAAGGCAACGAUGCGUAGCCGACCUGAGAGGGUGAUCGGCCACACUGGAACUGAGACACGGUCCAGACUCCUACGGGAGGCAGCAGUAGGGAAUCUUCCGCAAUGGGCGAAAGCCUGACGGAGCAACGCCGCGUGAGUGAUGAAGGUCUUCGGAUCGUAAAACUCUGUUAUUAGGGAAGAACAAAUGUGUAAGUAACUAUGCACGUCUUGACGGUACCUAAUCAGAAAGCCACGGCUAACUACGU